GACGGGUGAGUAACACGUGGGCAACCUGCCCUGCAGAUCGGGAUAACUCCGGGAAACCGGUGCUAAUACCGAAUAGUUUUUUGCCCCUCCUGGGGCGAAACGGAAAGACGGUUUCGGCUGUCACUGCAGGAUGGGCCCGCGGCGCAUUAGCUAGUUGGUGGGGUAAUGGCCCACCAAGGCGACGAUGCGUAGCCGACCUGAGAGGGUGAUCGGCCACACUGGGACUGAGACACGGCCCAGACUCCUACGGGAGGCAGCAGUAGGGAAUCUUCCGCAAUGGACGCAAGUCUGACGGAGCAACGCCGCGUGAGUGACGAAGGUUUUCGGAUCGUAAAACUCUGUUGUGAGGGAAGAACAAGUACCAACUAACUACUGGUACCUUGACGGUACCUCACCAGAAAGCCACGGCUAACUACGUGCCAGCAGCCGCGGUAAUACGUAGGUGGCAAGCGUUGUCCGGAAUUAUUGGGCGUAAAGCGCGCGCAGGCGGUCCCUUAAGUCUGAUGUGAAAGCCCACGGCUCAACCGUGGAGGGUCAUUGGAAACUGGGGGACUUGAGUGCAGAAGAGGAAAGUGGAAUUCCACGUGUAGCGGUGAAAUGCGUAGAGAUGUGGAGGAAC
rnacentral:rRNA from 1 species